GAAAUAUUCAAAUCCGUGAAGGCAAAGGUCAUUUUUAAAUAAUCGAGCUUCAUGCGGGGGAAGACGCAAAUACGAAUAAAGUGUUCACCUUGAGCGCUGCAAGGAGAGGAGGUUUAGAAACCAAGACAUGGGACAGGAAAACGAGAGGAAACAGGGAACGAGAAGAGGAACACAGAGAACAAAGGAGAAGAAGAAAAGGGGUAACGGAUGAAGAUGCGAAAGAAAUAAGUUCUGCUGAACUUUAACUCUCAAUUCCAGGACCCUACAACUGGAACUAGUGUCGCUCCCAGCUCAAGACGACUGAAUGGUCGCAGUGUUGGAUUACCACCGUUGGCAAGAAAUUAUGAAAUACUGGAAGGUGGCCUCUAGUAGCAGUGUGUUCAUACCAAAUUUCAUGAAGUUCGUCAACUGAUUAAGGGGGUGGCGUGAAGACGGUCAUAACGGUAUAAUAAAUGCAUCCAUCUUUUCUUAUGAAAUGAGGAAACUAAGUUUAAAAGUUAAACAUUCCACCACACCUUUAUCCGAAAUACAAUCGUAACGAUUUUGCAGUUAUUGAUAAAUCGGACCCUGCGACACUCCUGCUGGCUUACAAAGGUUAUAGCACCUAGAACUUUCACUUGUUAAUCACCCAAUCAGGCUAAAGGUAACAGGCAGACAUGUGUAGAACUAUGGCCUACUCCACUAAUGUUAAACAGACACCCUCCCUGUAACACAGCAAGCUGUACUUGAUUCAGCAAUAUAUGGCUGUGUUAUAAAUCUUAUCCUUCCAGGCGCAUUCGCAAUCCUACGGAGGCCCUAUUAAAAUGAUGUUUGUAAUGGU